rnacentral:rRNA from 1 species
AACGAACGCUGGCGGCGUGGAUAAGACAUGCAAGUCGGACGAGAUUUUUCGUUGUAGCAAUACGAUGGAAAAUUUAGUGGCGAACGGGUGCUUAACACGUGGGCAACCUGCCAGGAAGUGGGGGAUAGCUCGCCGAAAGGCGAAUUAAUACCGCAUGUGAUUAGAGAGGACAUCCUUUCGAAAUUAAAGUCGGGGCAACCUGACGCUUCUUGUGGGGCCCGCGGCCUAUCAGCUAGUUGGUGAGGUAACGGCUCACCAAGGCUUUGACGGGUAGCUGGUCUGAGAGGACGACCAGCCACACUGGGACUGAGACACGGCCCAGACACCUACGGGUGGCAGCAGUCGAGAAUUUUUGACAAUGGGGGAAACCCUGAUCGAGCGACGCCGCGUGGAGGAUGAAGGUCUUCGGAUUGUAAACUCCUGUCAUUGGGGAACAAGGUGCAUACGUUAACUGCGUGUGUAUUGAUAGUACCCGAAGAGGAAGAGACGGCUAACUCUGUGCCAGCCGCCGCGGUAAAAC